GUACACACCGCCCGUCGCUACUACCGAUUGAGCAUUUUAGUGAGGACCUCGGACUGCACAGAUCUUUGGUUAACGCCGAUGUCUGAGCGGAAAGACGUCCAAACUGUAGUGCUUAGAGGAAGUAAAAGUCGUAACAAGGUUUCCGUAGGUGAACCUGCAGAAGGAUCA
rnacentral:rRNA from 1 species